UAGAGUGACAGAAGGGCGUUCGGUGGAUGCCUUGGCGCCAAGAGGCGAUGAAGGACGUGGCACGCUGCGAAAAGCCGCGGGGAGAUGCGAGCGAUCGUUGAUCCGCGGAUGUCCGAAUGGGGAAACCCCUCCCGUAUGGGAGAUCUUGCACUGAAUUCAUAGGUGCUGGAGGCAAACCCGGGGAACUGAAACAUCUCAGUACCCGGAGGAAAAGACAUCAACAGAGAUUCCGCGAGUAGUGGCGAGCGAAAGCGGAGCAGGCCAGUGAUUGUGCAAGAAGAAGCCGAACGGUCUCGAAAGGCCGGCCAGAGCGGGUGAUAGCCCCGUAGGCGUAGUGUCUUGCAGGAUCCUCGAGUAGGGCGGGGCACGUGAAACCCUGUCUGAACGUGGGGGGACCACCCUCCAAGCCUAAAUACUCCUUGGCGACCGAUAGUGCACAAGUACCGUGAGGGAAAGGUGAAAAGCACCCCGACGAGGGGAGUGAAAGAGACCUGAAACCGAGCGCCUACAAGCAGUCGGAGCACCCCAAUGUUCAAUCAUGGGAGGUGUGACGGCGUACCUUUUGUAUAAUGGGUCCGCGAGUUUCUGUUGGCAGCAAGCUUAAGCCGAGAGGUGUAGGCGCAGCGAAAGCGAGUCUGAUAAGGGCGCUUGAGUUGCCGGCAGAAGACCCGAAACCGAGUGAUCUAGCCAUGGCCAGGCUGAAGGUGGGGUAACACCCACUGGAGGGCCGAACCCACGCCUGUUGAAAAAGUCGGGGAUGAGCUGUGGCUAGGGGUGAAAGGCCAAUCAAACUCGGAAAUAGCUGGUUCUCCGCGAAAUCUAUUGAGGUAGAUCGUCGUCCGAUUACCUUCGGAGGUAGAGCACCGGAAGGGCUAGGGGGGCCCAAAGCCCUACCAAACCCUACCGAACUCCGAAUGCCGAAGAGUACAGGACGGCAGACAGACAGUGGGUGCUAAGGUCCAUUGUCGAGAGGGAAACAGCCCAGACCACCAGCUAAGGCCCCCAAAUCGUGGCUAAGUGGGAAAGCAUGUGAGACGGCCAAAACAACCAGGAGGUUGGCUUAGAAGCAGCCAUCCUUUAAAGAAAGCGUAAUAGCUCACUGGUCUAAUAGCUGUCUUGCGGCGAAAAUGUAACGGGGCUCAAGCCACGUGCCGAAGCUGUGGAUGCAUGCGCAAGCAUGCGUGGUAGCGGAGCGUUCCGUAGGCCUGCGAAGGCAGACCCGUGAGGGCUGCUGGAGGUAUCGGAAGUGCGAAUGCGGACAUGAGUAGCGAUAAACAGGGUGAGAACCCCUGUCGCCGAAAGUCCAAGGGUUCCUGCGCAAGGUCAAUCCGCGCAGGGUGAGCCGGCCCCUAAGGCGAGGGCGAAAGCCGUAGUCGAUGGGAACCAGGUGAAUAUUCCUGGGCCUGACAGACGUGACGGCUGCAAAGCGUUGUUGCCCCUUAUCGGAUUGGGGCGGCAGCCAGAGCAGCCCAGGAAACAGCGCUGUCGAUAAAGACCGUACCCGAAACCGACACAGGUGGACUGGUUGAGAAUACCGAGGCGCUUGAGAGAACUAUGCUGAAGGAACUAGGCAAAUUACUCGCGUAACUUCGGGAUAAGCGAGACCCCUUCUUGCGCAAGCAAGGUGGGGUGGCACAGACCAGGGGGUAGCGACUGUUUAGUAAAAACACAGGGCUCUGCGAAAUCGAGAGAUGACGUAUAGGGUCUGACACCUGCCCGGUGCCGGAAGGUCAAGGGGAGAUGUGCAAGCAUCGAACCGAAGCCCCGGUAAACGGCGGCCGUAACUAUAACGGUCCUAAGGUAGCGAAAUUCCUUGUCGGGU
rnacentral:rRNA from 1 species